rnacentral:rRNA from 1 species
CAACCCUGACGCAGCGACGCCGCGUGGAGGAGGAAGGCCUUCGGGUUGUAAACUCCUUUUGGGGGGGGAAGAAACCAAUGACGGUACCCCCCGAAUAAGCCCCGGCUAACUCCGUGC